rnacentral:rRNA from 1 species
AGCGGAGGAAAAGAAACUAAACUAGGAUAGCCCCAGUAAUGGCGAAUGAACAGGCUAAAGCUCAAAGUGAAAAUCUGAAGUGGUCAACACAACAGAAUUGUAAUCUAAAGAGUCAACCUAAAGCUAAGCUCCUCGCAUAAGUUCCUUGGAACAGGACGUCAAAGAGGGUGACAACCCCGUAGUCGGUGAGGAAGGCUGGUGAAAGGGAGACUUCAAAGAGUCGGGUUGUUUGGGAUUGCAGCCCUAAGUGGGAGAUAAACUUCUUCUAAAGCUAAAUAUACACGGGAGACCGAUAGCGAACAAGUACUGCGAAGGAAAGAUGAAAAGAACUUUGAAAAGAGGGUUAAAAGACUUGAAACCGUUGAGAAGGAAGCUGUAGAAGAGCAAUAAACUGGACGGCGCAUAAGGGGGAAGUGUUACUCACUGCGGAGUCGAUACGAAAGGUCGAUGAGUAAGGAAAGGACACAGAACUUGCUACGCCGGUCGGAAGACAAAAUGAGUUCAGAUUGAAGGAGUCACCUGAGAUCGGGUAGCAAUACAGAUCAAAAGGGAAACUUCAGACUGGACUGAGGGGCCUAAGGGCGAUUUUGUCAAAAUGGCUUCUACUGACCCGUCUUGAAACACGGACCAAGGAGUCUAUCAAUUAAGCGAGUGAUAGGGUGGAAAAACCCGUCCGCGAAACGAAAGUGAGUACAAGGUGCCAAGCCGAAAGGUAGCAGCAUCACCCGACCUUGAGUCUCCGACGAAGGGUUCGAGGAAGAGCUUAAUUGUUAGGACCCGAAAGAUGGUGAACUACGCUUGAAUAGGGUGAAGCCAGGGGAAACUCUGGUGGAAGCUCGUAGCGAUACUGACGUGCAAAUCGUUCGUCAAAUKAUGAAGUGUAGGGGCGAAAGACUAAUCGAACCUUCUAGUA